AGGACUGGCAUUCAGUGAGGCUGGGGGAGAAGCUUGCUAAAAGCAUUGCCCUUGAAAAGCAGGGCAUACCUAUCUGAUACUGAGGAUAUAGAAUGCAGUUUGGAGAUGCUUCCUAGCUACCUAAUCUUCCAAGGCAAACCAUGCACUCUUCAGCCUGAUAUUUGUGAUGCCUCCCUGGGCUGCAUGAUAGAGGGUGCACUGCAAAGGAAGUGAAGGAAAGUCACCACAGGACAAAGGUGGAAGCCCAGGGGCCUUUCCCUAGUGAAACUUUCUGGCUGUUCCUUUGGAACUUCCACCUGCUAGCUGCAGAUGUUUGCCACUGGAUGGGGCCCCAUGCUAUGUGGGAACUGUUCAGGACUGUGGGUACUUAGUUCCAGCAGAGUUGGCUCCACCAGGGCACCAGGUCUGCAGGCUUCUCAACUCCUGGCCUGGAGAGGCAGCUUCAGCAACCAGUGCCUGGGAGUCCACUAGCCCUUUCUCUCUGAGUCACGUGAGGGCAGAAUCUGCUCAAAGUCAGAGGGCUGGAGCAACCUGGAUUGUGCCAGAGUGAGGGCCCAGCUCACUGGAGGUCAGAGUAAGAGAGUCAAGGAUGGAAAGAAGCAGGGUUUUGCUCAGUCUCUUGCAGAUACUGAGGCACUCAGGAGGCCCAGGAUGGCAGCAGCAGGGCAUGUGCUAAGGUGGGGAAGGAGUGACCAAGUGGCAUGGGUGCAACUUACCCCAGCCUCUUCCUUUUAGGCAGCCACCACAGAGGACAUCUGUUUACCUCUGUACCCUACCCCACCUCCAUGCUGGUAGAUAUAGUCUGGGGAUACCUUUAAAACAAACAAACAAACAAACAGACAAAACAGGAUCUGUCUAUCACCUGUCCAAAUCCUGAAGCAAAUGAGCCUUCUUUAUGGCCACCUUGGAAAGGCCUGAGUCCCCAGCAUCACCUGGGAUACAAAGUGUUCUGAGGUGGGGGCAGAGUGCCCUCCUGCCCAGAUGCCACACUCCACAAUAUCUCUUCCUGGCAGACAGGUUUCUCUUAACUUCCUUUGGCAAAUUUGGUUUCACUUCCUUUUGCAACUUUAGAACCUUUCUCAGGUCUGUCAUAAGGUAGUUGAGAAGCCAAGAUUUGAACUCAUUCUGUCUGAUUCCAGAGCUCAUGCAUUAACCACCUGACUGUGGUGCCUCCUCAUCAUAUGUGCAUCAAGUAUUAUCAUUUUUGUAGUUCUCAGAGUACUUAGCACCAUGCACAUCUGUAAUAAGUACAGCCACUGCCUACUGGGAGGUCUAAAGGUUCAACUCAUAAGGGACCCACAGGCCACACUGGGCUCCAGUCUCCUUAAAAGAUGUGGGACAGAGAUCAACAAUUGUCAGCAGAACCCCAUCAGGCAUUUGUCUUCUCAUUGAGCCUUGCAGCAAACCACACAGCUGUCUAUAACCUAUCUGCUCCCAGAUGCAAGAACACAAGCUGCUCAUCAGUUGGGUGCAGGAUCCACUCUAGUACAAAAGCUGUGUGUCUCAAGGCAUAAUUCCUUAUGAUUACUUCAUAGCUCUGCUUUUGCCCUGAGACAAAAGGAAUUUCCUUCAAUUCCUACUUUGCUGAGAUAUUGUUUUUUGAAAAGCAAUUAAAUCUUGUCAAUCACUUUUCCCACCUCUUUGAGAUACUUACAUGGCUUUUCUCCUUUAUUCUCUUAGUAUGGUAAAUUACAUUGAUUGAUUUUAAAUAUUAAACCAGCCUUGAAUUCCAGGAACAAACUCCAUUUGGGCAUGCUAGAACAACCUUUUAUAUUUGGUUAGAUUUGAUUUCCUGAAGUGGUGUUAAAGAUUUUCAUAUCUAUGUCUGUGAGGGAUAUUAAUCUGUACAUUUUUUUAUUACUGUUUUCUGGUGUUAUGGUAAUGCUAGUCUCAUAGAAUGAAUUAGGAAAAGUUGCCUCGUCCUGUAUUUUCUGAGAGUUUGUGUGGCACUGGUGAAAUAUUUUCUGUAUAUGUUUGACAUAAUUCACCAGGAAAAUUAUUUGUACCUACAAGUUCCCUCCUGGAAAGAUGUUGAUAAUUACUUAUUAUCCUUUCAUUGUCUGCCAGAUCUGUAGCAGUGCUUUUUUCUUUGGUAUUAGUAAUUUAAAAUUUCCCUUAUUUCUUGAUCAAUUUUGGCAGACAUUUAUCAAUUUUAUUAAUCUCUUUUAAAAAUCUGUAUUUAGCUUUGUUAAUUUUCUCUAUUACAUACUUUUUAUUUCUACUCUUAGGAUUGCUAUUUCUUUAUUUCUCCUUUGGAGUUAGCCCAUUUUUCUAUUUGUCUAAUUUUAGGAUUUAAAAUUCAAUCAUUAUUUUUAGAUAUUUUUAUUUUUAAAUAUAAACACUUAAAGUUGCAAUAUUACCUUGGGCACUGUUUUGACUGCAUUCCACAAGUUUUUAUUUGUCAUGUUUUAAUCACCAUUCAGUUCAAAAUACUUUCUAAUGCUCCUUGUUAUUUCUUCUUUGACCCAUUGGUUAUAUAAAAGUACGUUUUGCUUUAUUUCUAAAUAUGUGAAGACUUUCUAGAUAUCUCAGUUAUUUAUUACUAUAUUACUAAUUUAAUUUUAUUGUAGCCAGAGAAAAUACACUGUACAUGUUCAAUCUUUUGAAAUUUCUUGAGACUUAUUUUUUGACCCAGUAUGUUUGCCCUCAUGAACAUUCCAUAAUCACUAGAAAAAGAAUGUGUGUUCAAAUAAUGUUGGAUAUAGUGUUAUACAAAUGCCACUAAAUCAAGAUAAAUCUUUUGCAUUCUUGUUUUUUGCCUGCUUGUUCUAACAAUAAGUGAGAAAGAAGUGUUAAUAUCUCC
rnacentral:lncRNA from 1 species